rnacentral:rRNA from 1 species
AAAACCCAAGCUCACAGUUGCGAGCAGAUCCCUUCGGGGAUGCUGGGCACUCUGUGGGGACCGCCAUCGCUAAGAUGGAUGAAGGUUUGGGCCACGGCAGGUCAGUAUGCCCCGAAUCCCCUGGGCCACACGCGGACUGCAAAGGCGAGGACAAUGGGUUGCUACAUCGAAAGGUGACGCUAAUCCCGAAACCUCGUCGUAGUUAGGAUUGCGGGUUGCAACUCACCAGCAUGAAUAUGGAAUCCCUAGUAACCGUGUGUCACCAUCGCACGGUGAAUAC